GUGUGGCUGCUUGGCGGGUAGCGGCGUGCUUGUGUUGGUUCGAGUCUAUCCGCUCUCUCUCUCAAUAGCGCACAUGCGGCAGCAAGCAUGGCCACAAGCUCUACCUGUUAUAUAUCCAUGAGGAUGCCUGGCAAAUUCAGUCCCAACCCAUUGCUUGGCAGCUAGAGAUUCUCGGCGUGGAGAAGAGCUCAAUCACAGGAGGAAAGAGACGGUAAAAGGAGGGGAGGACAAGGUAAGGGAAAGAGCCGGUGGUAGAGGUGAAGGAGAAAGACACACACGAGAGAGAGACUAGUAGUGUGCUCAUGGGUCCAGAGUCAAAUAAGUCGAGACUGAAUGAGAACUAGGGCAAGCUAUGGAUUAUUAAUGACCAUUGGUGUGUAUGUAUAUUAUUAUAAUACUCCUACUGUCCUGUUUACCCUGUUGUUGUUGUUGUUUGGUCUCUCAUGGCAUGCAUUGAUAUGCAUGGUGUCUCUCUCAAAGUCCAAAGUCCAAAGUCCAAACUGUGGCGUACUGGCUGCAGUGUGGGCUCAGCUAAGGCAGCAGCUGCCUCUAGCUAGUGCAUGCUGCCACUGGCCGUUGUGGGCGAAUGAUGUAGUCAUUAUUGUACUGAUGCCUACAAGUGCGUACUGUAUGGCCACGUGAGGAGGGCUUGAGCACAUCUGGGCAGCGUGCAGGCGUUUUGUAGAACGAGUAUGCAAUAUUUACAAAUGUAACAAUGGCUCUAUGAAUUAGAGUACUACGUUGUAUAUACCAAUCAUGAGAAAUACAAAUCCACAUGAACGUAUGAUUUAUCUUAAU